CCUACGGGUGGCAGCAGUGAGGAAUAUUGGUCAAUGGGCGGAAGCCUGAACCAGCCAUGCCGCGUGAAGGAAGACGGCUCUAUGAGUUGUAAACUUCUUUUGUAAAAGGGUAAACCUGAAUACGUGUAUUCAGCUGAAAGUACUGUACGAAUAAGGAUCGGCUAACUCCGUGCCAGCAGCCGCGGUAAUACGGAGGAUCCAAGCGUUAUCCGGAUUUAUUGGGUUUAAAGGGUGCGUAGGUGGAUUGAUAAGUUAGUUGUGAAAUGUCGGAGCUUAACUCGGGAACUGCAUCUGAUACUGUUGAUCUAGAGAGUAGAUGAGGUAGGCGGAAUGUAUGGUGUAGCGGUGAAAUGCUUAGAGAUCAUACAGAACACCGAUUGCGAAGGCAGCUUACCAAUCUAUAUCUGACGUUGAGGCACGAAAGUGUGGGGAGCAAACAGGAUUAGAUACCCGUGUAGUC
rnacentral:rRNA from 1 species